GUGCCGCUGCUGCUGGAGGACGGCGGGGAGGUCCCGGCCGCGCUCGAGGCGGCGCUGGAGGAGAAGGGCGCCCUGGAGCAGAUGCGCAAGUUCCUCUCCGACCCGCAGGUGCACACGGUGCUGGUGGAGCGCUCCACGCUCAAGGUUCACAGAUGCAGGCAGAAGGAAUCUCCCUAAAACUUCAUCUGAAGGACUGCACCUGCCACAGUGUUGCAAAGUACUGCAGUGCAGUAUAAACGGUGUGUCUUCCUCAGAUGGAGAUAGCUUUGUGCUGCAUUGCAGUGGUUCACUGCAGAAGUGCCAGCAUGCACAGCGAUUACAUCACCUUGUGAUUCACUAGCUAAGUUAAGGAAUCAGUCAUUUUCUCUCUUACACUUUGUACUUUUAAUCUCCUCUUUUCCUUAAUAUAAAAAGAAGGCUUCGAAAAUAUCAAGGCAAGUUAUGAAAAGGAAUUAAACUGAUGAUUUUGUGGCAUGUUCUUGCAGGUCUUUAAGCAUACUGAGAUAACAAAACUUUGUGUAUUUUUAAAUAGCCAUAACACAGGCUAUGUAUUGUGGGGAAACUCUGCAAUCUGUCUCUUGAAAUCAGCAUGAAAGGAGUUGUCUUGUAAUUUGCUUUCACUACAAUUCAUACAGGAGGCAGCUUAGAAAAAUGGGGAGCAGUAGUGAUCCUGAAGUAACUAAUCUCUUGUAAUAAAGCCAUAAAAACCUCUGUCUUGAGCAGUCAUAUGUUUCUGGGUUCUAAGUCAUGGUUAGUACAAAUGAAAAGAGAUUUUGGUAUGUUCUGUCCAAUUCUGCUGACAACAAAUUAAAUAAUUCUGGGUAUGAUUUCAAACCUAGAUGAGAAAUGGGUACAAAUGAGCUCCUGAAUGAGUAGGUGUGAGGUAGAGGUGGUGGAGAGUGAUGGGUUAAUAGGCUUGUAAGUGCAUGUUAGAGGUUUUUAAUUAGUGAAUUCUGUUUGCAGAGGAUGUGGGUGAUGAGGGAGAAGAGGAAAUAUAAUUAAUAUCCUAUAGCAUUAAUACUGACAAUCAUUAUGAGCUAAAGUCAAACAGGUGUGGCAGUCUUACUGAAAUCUGAUAUGAAUGUUUUAGGACUAGGAAAAGCUAAUCCUAUAAUCCUUAUGCUAACACACACAUAGUAAUAUGUAGAGCUUUUGAUGUUCAAAAUGCUCUACAAACGUCUAGCUUCACAACAGAGCACUCUCUCUCAUAUGCUUGCAUAUUUGUCUCUUGUCGUUGUCUAACGCUAGCAUGCAUUUGUCUCUGUGAAGCAAAAAUAUUUUAGAAAUCUUACACCAGAAAAUGGUGUGCUUUCAAUUACCAUGAUUAUAGACUUGAUUGCUAUUAGUUUUCUGUCAGUCUAAAAUGGGUUAAUAUAAAAACCUAAUACAUCCAGCUACUACUAGUAGUUUUAAAGCAUUAGCACAAGUUUUGCUCUCACAUUUUCGAAACUGUACCCGGUAAAGCACGAUAGCAUUAACAUCUGAUAUACACCUCCUAAUUUUAUGUUGUACUAGAGCUACUGUAAUUUACUGUAUUCUGGAAUUAAAUGUCUUAUGGUUAACUAACUUUUUUCUUUGCUCCACAGUUUGGCGUUCAUUAAGUGUACACCAGUGACUGAUGCUGACAAAACAAUGUCCUCCCAACUGCUUAAUUCUCAACAUGUGUGUGGCAAAGAAACUGUCAGAUCAGUGAGUCUUGGGGUGGAUAAUCUGCUCAUUACUGAAAAAAAAGACCUGGAAGUUCGAUCCUUGGAAAUCUGCAUGUAUGAUCAUAAUCUGCAUGUAUGAUCAUAAGACUUUUUUUCAGAAAUCUUGAAAAGAGUUCAAAAAGCUGUGGAUGACUUGAAUCUUUAUUUGUAUUCCAGUUUGCCCAUCUGGGUCAAUAAGUUGGAUAUGGAGAUUGAACGAAUACUAGGAGUUCGUCUACAGGCUGGGCUGAGAGCUUGGACCCAAGUUCUUGAACAAGCUGAUGAUAAAACAGAAGUUGACAUGGAUACAGAUGUGCCUCAAGUCAGUCACAAGCCUGGUGGGGAGCCAAAGAUCAAAAGGCCCAGGCCACUGCAGGUGGAGCAAACCAAAUCGAGGCUCCUUUGCACUUUGUCUGGAGACCAGCCCUUGAUAGACAAUCGUCCAGAUACAGGAAGAUCUAGACCCCUCAAUGCCUCAGGCUCUUCUUGAGGAUGCCACUGUCGAGGUGGCUGAAAAGGCCAGGAUGGCGCUCUCGAUGCCUGAGGAGUGCGCAUCUGCAGAGGGUGUCCGUGUGUGUGUGUGUGUCCGUGUGUGUGUGUGUGUGUGUGUCCGUGUGUGUGUGUGUGUGUGUCCGUGUGUGUGCGUCCGUGUCCGUCCGUCCGUCCGUCCUUCAGGCCAUGCAGACGUUCAUCUGUUUGAUCGGAGAACACGCUGUCACCAUCAAACGGGAAGUCCUGAACAGAGACUUGUAUCUCCUGGAGCCAGGAACUGUGCCGCAUGACCACUGCCUAGGCGACCGCUAGGGCAGCUGAAUCUUCCACAUCACAGGUCAUUUGGAGUGAGCACCGAGCUGCUGCAGUCCCCUCUUCCACCAGGGUUGCGAACUCCUGCACUGUCUCCUGGGAUAUGGAGUCCUUGAACUUAAGGAGAGAGUCCCACAAGCCCAGGUUGGAAACUACCCUGCGGAGCAGCACGAAGGCUCCCUAAAAUCACAACCACCUAAUCCAGAGAGGAGGGGGGUGAUUGGAUGACUGGGAGAAGUCCAGCAAUGUCUUCGCACGUCGGAGAGGAUGACCUUAGGGUGGGUACCGGCUUCUCACCUGUGGCAGCUGCUGGAGCGUCCUGCACCAAAUCCAGUGCCAUGGGUGCCAACUUCAGCCUGUCUCAUGAGCUAGACGCACAAGGCUAAGAGAAGAGAAGCAAGGGACACAGGUGCUCCCACUGACCACAGGUGGUGGUAAGGAACUGAGAGGGCACAGGGCUGACAACACAUGAUACACCUGUGGCGUGAAUGCAGCACCCAGAGAGCACCACAGCUAGCCCCACGGGAAUCGCUAAG